GACGAACGCUGGCGGCGUGCUUAACACAUGCAAGUCGAGCGGUAAGGCCCUUUCGGGGGUACACGAGCGGCGAACGGGUGAGUAACACGUGGGUGACCUGCCCUCAGCUCUGGGAUAAGCCUGGGAAACUGGGUCUAAUACUGGAUAUGACUCCACGGUGCAUGUCGUGGGGUGGAAAGCCUUGUGCGGCUGAGGAUGGGCCCGCGGCCUAUCAGCUCGUUGGUGGGGUGANGGGCCUACCAAGGCGACGACGGGUAGCCGGCCUGAGAGGGCGACCGGCCACACUGGGACUGAGACACGGCCCAGACUCCUACGGGAGGCAGCAGUGGGGAAUCUUGCGCAAUGGGCGAAAGCCUGACGCAGCGACGCCGCGUGAGGGAUGACGGCCUGG
rnacentral:rRNA from 1 species